rnacentral:rRNA from 1 species
UAACACAUGCAAGUCGAACGGGUGCUUUUCGGAGCAUUAGUGGCGGACGGGUGAGUAACGCGUGAGAAUCUGCCUUCAGAACGGGGACAACGACUGGAAACGGUCGCUAAUACCCGAUGAGCCGAGAGGUAAAAGAUUUAUCGUCUGAAGAUGAGCUCGCGUCAGAUUAGCUAGUUGGUAGUGUAAGGGACUACCAAGGCGACGAUCUGUAGCUGGUCUGAGAGGAUGACCAGCCACACUGGAACUGAGAGACGGUCCAGACUCCUACGGGAGGCAGCAGUGGGGAAUUUUCCGCAAUGGGCGCAAGCCUGACGGAGCAAGACCGCGUGAGGGAAGAAGGUCUGUGGAUUGUAAACCUCUUUUGACAGGGAAGAAUAAUGACGGUACCUGUCGAAUCAGCCUCGGCUAACUCCGUGCCAGCAGCCGCGGUAAUACGGAGGAGGCAAGCGUUAUCCGGAAUUAUUGGGCGUAAAGCGUCCGUAGGUGGGUGCAUGUGUCAGUUGUUAAAGGAUGGAGCUUAACUCCAUAAGAGCGAUUGAAACUGUGCAUCUAGAGUGCGAUAGGGGCAAGGGGAAUUCCCAGUGUAGCGGUGAAAUGCGUAGAUAUUGGGAAGAACACCGGUGGCGAAAGCGCCUUGCUGGGUCUGCACUGACACUGAGGGACGAAAGCUAGGGGAGCGAAAGGGAUUAGAUACCCCUGUAGUCCUAGCUGUAAACGAUGGGUACUAGGCGUUGUCCGUAUCGACCCGGGCAGUGCCGUAGCUAACGCGUUAAGUACCCCGCCUGGGGAGUACGCUCGCAAGAGUGAAACUCAAAG